UCCAGGGGAUCUUCCCAAUCCAGGAAUCAAAUUGGGGUCUCCUGCAUUGCAUUCUUUACCAACUGAGCUAUCAGGGAGAAGCUGAUAUCAAUGGUGGGAGAAGGAGUGAUGCAAACCCUUCUUUGUGCCCCACUGACUGUCAGACACACUGCCUUCUUGAAGGAAUGGAAUGAGCCAUGGAGUUAGCAUCUGGAGAUGGCAGAACAAGAAGACAGAAAGGAUGGAUCCUUCAUGAGGUGGCCCAGUUGCUAA
rnacentral:lncRNA from 1 species